rnacentral:rRNA from 1 species
UACAGAGACUGCGAGCGUUAUUCGGCUUCACUGGGCGUAAAGGGUGCGCAGGUGGCCGUGUGUGUGCGGCGUGAAAGCCCGGGGCUUAACCCCGGAAUUGCACCUCAAACUACAUGGCUAGAGCAUUGGAGAGGGUAGCGGAAUUCACGGUGUAGCAGUGAAAUGCGUAGAUAUCGUGAGGAACACCAGAGGCGAAGGCGGCUACCUGGACAAUUGCUGACACGCAGGCACGAAAGCGUGGGGAGCAAAAGGG